UACGUAGGGGUGCAAGCGUUGUCCGGAAUUAUUGGGCGUAAAGAGCUCGUAGGCGGUCUGUCGCGUCGGCUGUGAAAACUCGGGGCUCAACCCCGAGCCUGCAGUCGAUACGGGCAGACUAGAGUGCUGUAGGGGAGACUGGAAUUCCUGGUGUAGCGGUGAAAUGCGCAGAUAUCAGGAGGAACACCCGUGGCUAAGGCGGCUCUCGUGGGACGGUACUGACGCUGAGACGCGAAAGCGUGGGGAGCGAACAGGAUAGAAACCCGAGUA
rnacentral:rRNA from 1 species